GAUGAACGCUGACAGAAUGCUUAACACAUGCAAGUCAACUUGAACUUCGGUUUGGGUGGCGGACGGGUGAGUAACGCGUAAAGAACUUGCCUCACAGCUAGGGACAACAUUUGGAAACGAAUGCUAAUACCUGAUAUUAUGAUUAUAUGGCAUCGUAUAAUUAUGAAAGCUAUAUGCGCUGUGAGAGAGCUUUGCGUCCCAUUAGCUAGUUGGAGAGGUAACGGCUCACCAAGGCGAUGAUGGGUAGCCGGCCUGAGAGGGUGAUCGGCCACAAGGGGACUGAGACACGGCCCUUACUCCUACGGGAGGCAGCAGUGGGGAAUAUUGGACAAUGGACCAAGAGUCUGAUCCAGCAAUUCUGUGUGCACGAUGAAGUUUUUCGGAAUGUAAAGUGCUUUCAGUUGGGAAGAAAAAAAUGACGGUACCAACAGAAGAAGUGACGGCUAAAUACGUG
rnacentral:rRNA from 1 species